AUACUCCCAAGAGACCGAUAGUGGACCAGUACUGUGAAGGAAAGGUGAAAAGAACCCCGAGCAGGGGAGUGAAAUAGAACCUGAAACCAUACGCUUACAACCGGUCGGAGCAGCUUCGUGCUGUGACGGCGUGCCUAUUGAAUAAUGAGCCUACGAGUUACUAAUCACUAGCGAGGUUAAGUGCAAGGAUGCACGGAGCCGAAGCGAAAGCGAGUCUGAACAGGGCGUUUAGUUAGUGGUUGUAGACGCGAAACCUUGCGAUCUACCCUUGAGCAGGUUGAAGGUUGGGUAAAACCAACUGGAGGACCGAACGAAUAAGCGUUGAAAAGCUUCUGGAUGACUUGAGGGUAGGGGUGAAAGGCUAAUCAAGCUGGGAGAUAGCUCGUACUCCCCGAAAUGCCUUUUGGGGCAGCGUUGUAAUAAAGAGUCUACUGGAGGUAGAGCUACUGAUUGGAUGCGGGGGCUUCACCGCCUACCAAAUCCUGACAAACUCCGAAUGCCAGUAGUAUGAUUUACAGCAGUGAGUGACUGGGUGCUAAUGUCCAGUCGCAAAAGAGGAACAACUCAGACCAGCAACUAAGGUCCCGAAGAAUAUGCUAAGUUGAUCUAACGAUGUUUUGUUGCAGAGACAGCUAGGAUGUUAGCUUGGAAGCAGCUAUUCAUUCAAAGAGUGCGUAACAGCUCACUAGUCGAGCGACAGAGCGUGGAUAAUAAACGGGCAUCAAGCAUAUCACCGAAGUUCUGGGCGCGAGAGCGCGGUAGGGGAGCAUUCCAUUCAGCGUCGAAGCAGUUUCGUGAGGAAUUGUGGAGCGUAUGGAAAAGCAAAUGUAGGCAUGAGUAACGAUAAUGCGGGAGAGUAACCCGCACACCGCAAGACCAAGGUUUCCUGAUCAACGCUAAUCGGAUCAGGGUUAGUCGGGUCCUAAGGGUAAGCCGAACGGUGAUCUCGAUGGACAAUCGGUUAAUAUUCCGAUACUAACAUAUACCUCGAUGGAGAGACGAAGGAACGUAAGUGCCGCCACCUGACGGAAUAGGUGGUUAAAGGGCGUAGAUAUAGGGGCAGAUUAAGAGUUAGUCCUUGCUGAAACCUGACAGUACAGAGAGCCUACGGGCAAUUUGAUAGAGCACCCAAGUCGACUUCCGAGAAAAUCUUCUAAGUUAUAGUAUAUGUUACCCGUACCGUAAACCGACACAGGUGGUCGAGGAGAGUAUCCUAAGGUGCUCGAGUGAAUCACGGUUAAGGAACUAGGCAAAUUAACCCCGUAACUUCGGGAAAAGGGGUCCCUAUGAAAGUAGGGCGCAGCGAAGAGGUCCAGGCGACUGUUUAUCAAAAACACAGGGCUCUGCAAAUUCGAAAGAAGACGUAUAGGGCCUGACACCUGCCCGGUGCUGGAAGGUUAAGAGGGGAUGUCAUCGCAAGAGAAGCAUUGAAUCGAAGCCCCAGUAAACGGCGGCCGUAACUAUAACGGUCCUAAGGUAGCGAAAUUCCUUGUCGGGUAAGUUCCGACCUG
rnacentral:rRNA from 1 species